GUGGGGAAUCUUGCGCAAUGGGCGAAAGCCUGACGCAGCCAUGCCGCGUGAAUGAUGAAGGUCUUAGGAUUGUAAAGUUCUUUCACCGGGGACGAUAAUGACGGUACCCGGAGAAGAAGCCCCGGCUAACUUCGUGCCAGCAGCCGCGGUAAUACGAAGGGGGCUAGCGUUGCUCGGAAUUACUGGGCGUAAAGUGAGCGUAGGCGGAUAGUUCAGUCAGAGGUGAAAGCCCAGGGCUCAACCUUGGAAUUGCCUUUGAUACUGGCUGUCUUGAGUAUGGGAGAGGUUAGCGGAACUCCGAGUGUAGAGGUGAAAUUCGUAGAUAUUCGGAAGAACACCAGUGGCGAAGGCGGCUAACUGGCCCAUUACUGACGCUGAGGCUCGAAAGCGUGGGGAGCAAACAGGAUUAGAUACCCUUGUAGUCC
rnacentral:rRNA from 1 species